CACGCAAGCUUCUGUCGUCAUUCAUCAAGCUAAACUCUCUUGAGAAAACUGUACAUUACUCCCAUGCUCGGGCACGUUCCCCAUACCCCCCCCAAGCGUUAGCGGGAAGCAGGAGGGCGAGAGCGCCUUGCUAUGCCCGCCCUUUUCCUUCAAUGAACGCGUCAUGGGUUUUGGCGUCUGCACCGCUUCGAGUGUGAUGCUGUCCAUCGCCACGUGGGUAAUGUUUUGCAAGGGCUACUUGCGCACGUUUGCGCUAGUCAGCAUGGUGGCCAGCAUCAUCUCUGCCAAAAGCACUCUCUUCCUCUGUGGGCGGGCGCGCCAGCGCACGAGUGUGCUCGCUGCGCACGGCUUCAUCGCAGCUCCUGUAUUCAUCAGCGACCGGGGCCUCAAAUUUUGGCCUUCGCACUGGCCGAAAAAGAUCGCCUUUGUGGCGAUGAUCACGGUGAUGCUGCAGUACGCGGCAAUGAAGCGGAGGAAGCCGCGCUCCCGUACUUUUUGCACGAGAUCGCCCCUCUCGCGUGCAUUGGGUGCAAAGGUUGGGCUGGCAUCCACCCGCAGGAGGCGGCCCGGGAAAAUGAUGAAAACGUUAAAAAAAAAGAAACAUUUAUACGAAUCGAUACCGCGUAGCUGUUGUUUCAAGCUCCGGUGUUUUGUUCUCCAGGACCCCACUCAGCUAUAGAGGCCUAUCUAUCAUGUGAGCAGUCAUUUUUUUCUCUCACUGUUGCGGUGCUUCUACGCUCGCACGGCAAACCGUGCCACCGAACGCGAAGAAGGAAGCAAGGGAGCAAAAAAAAGCUCGUGUCUCGAAUGCCUCGUCAUUCCAACCGCGAGUACGUUGAAUCAGUUUGGAGCAUGAGAAGCGCGGUACUCUGUACAUGCAUUUUUUUUUUUCAGGGUUGGGGUGGGGAUGGAGGGACUCCCAGUAGAUGCACCCUGCCUCCCGUGCGCGACGCCGUUGUCCAUUUUCUUUCCACUUCUUUGUGUCUCUCCUCUCUUCAUUUCGGCGUUUCGCUUUCUGUCAUCAACCGACGUCCCGCGCUACCACAG
rnacentral:misc_RNA from 1 species